rnacentral:rRNA from 1 species
CACGGUGGAUGCCUUGGCACUAGAAGCCGAUGAAGGACGUUACUAACGACGAUAUGCUUUGGGGAGCUGUAAGUAAGCUUUGAUCCAGAGAUUUCCGAAUGGGGAAACCCAGCAUGAGUUAUGUCAUGUUAUCGAUAUGUGAAUACAUAGCAUAUCAGAAGGCACACCCGGAGAACUGAAACAUCUUAGUACCCGGAGGAAGAGAAAGAAAAUUCGAUUCCCUUAGUAGCGGCGAGCGAAACGGGAAGAGCCCAAACCAACAAGCUUGCUUGUUGGGGUUGUAGGACACUCUAUACGGAGUUACAAAGGACGACAUUAGACGAAUCAUCUGGAAAGAUGAAUCAAAGAAGGUAAUAAUCCUGUAGUCGAAAAUGUUGUCUCUCUUGAGUGGAUCCUGAGUACGACGGAGCACGUGAAAUUCCGUCGGAAUCUGGGAGGACCAUCUCCUAAGGCUAAAUACUCUCUAGUGACCGAUAGUGAACCAGUACCGUGAGGGAAAGGUGAAAAGCACCCCGGAAGGGGAGUGAAAUAGAACCUGAAACCGUGUGCUUACAAGUAGUCAGAGCCCGUUAAUGGGUGAUGGCGUGCCUUUUGUAGAAUGAACCGGCGAGUUACGAUUUGAUGCAAGGUUAAGCAGUAAAUGUGGAGCCGUAGCGAAAGCGAGUCUGAA